GGGGGGUGCGAGCGUUGUCCGGAAUCACUGGGCGUAAAGGGCGCGUAGGUGGUCUGAUAAGGGUGUGGUGAAAGCCCGGGGCUCAACCCCGGGUCGGCCGUGCCGACUGUUAGACUAGAGUGCUGUAGGGGCAGGCGGAAUUCCGGGUGUAGCGGUGGAAUGCGUAGAGAUCCGGAGGAAGACCGGUGGCGAAGGCGGCCUGCUGGGCAGUUACUGACACUGAGGCGCGACAGCGUGGGGAGCAAACAGGAUUAGAUACCCUGGUAGUCCACGCCGUAAACGAUGGGUACUAGGUGCCUGGGGGAGCGACCCCUUGGGUGCCGGCGCUAACGCAGGAAGUACCCCGCCUGGGGAGUACGACCGCAAGGUUG
rnacentral:rRNA from 1 species